GCCCUCCCCACACCUAGUUCACACACACUACACAAACACACACUCUGCAUUAUAUACACACUCUGCAUUAUAUACACAGAGUGUGUGUAUAUAAUGCAGAGUGUGUGUUUGUAUGAGUGUGUGUGUGUAUAUAAUGCAGAGUGUGUGUUUGUAUGAGUGUGUGUGUAUAUAAUUAUAAAAAUCACAGAAUUUCACAGCCCCAAGUUUUACCCUCGACUUAUCCACGAGGCAUAGCAUAUUUCACAAUUGUUGGUCACAAAACUGGACUCGACUUAUACAUGAGAUCGACUUAUACACGAGUAUAUACGGUAUAUGAU